rnacentral:misc_RNA from 1 species
GGAACUGUCUUGUCUCCUAAUUAUGAUUGUUGGGUAAUGGCCCAUUCAAGAAUUUAGGUUACCUAUUGAAUGAAUGGUUGGUCCCACGCCAAAGGCUCACAAGAGUAGAUGUGCUUCUUGUUGUUUAGACCCACUUGUAUUAUAUCGAUACGUGUUGGGUGGUCAUUAUGCUCAAAUAGUACCAAUCUUUUUAUGUUGCCCCGCAUGGCCAUUGGCCAGUGCCCUUGGUCGGAGACCGGUUCUCUCUGCGGACAAGCCUUAGUUUA